CACUUGUCAUCACCUCUCGCCCUGUGGCUGCCAUAUAUGGUUGACGGCGCUCUGCACCUUGCAGAGGGAACUCAGGAUCUCUCAAGACUGGGCAGGUAGAUGCUAAUCUGCAGAAAUUAUGAACACAUUCUGCAAUGAGAAUCCCUCUUUCAGCCAUCAUCCAGAGACAGAACUGUUCACUUUCCUCUGGAUUUGCCAGUGGGAUCAAGGAAACACAAUAAAUUCUUUCUUUGUUUCUCUUUACCUUCAAAAUUUUAUUUUGUGUAUUUGUUUUACUAUUUGUAUUGAGUUGCUCAUUUCUGACACGUCUGCUAGCAAGGAAUGAAUAAAUAAAGCCAAAUGAGCUGAA